rnacentral:lncRNA from 1 species
CCCGAGUAGCUGGGACUACAGGUGCCUGCCACCAUGCUCGGCUAAUUUUUUUCGUUUUUUUGUAUUUUUUAGAGAUAGGGUUUCACCGUGUUAGCCAGAUGGUCUUGAUCUCCUGACCUCGUGAUCCGCCCACCUUGGCCUCCCAAAGUGCUGGGAUUACAGGUGUGAGCCACAGCGCCCGGCCUGGAAUUAUAAUCUUAAUCAGAUGUCGAUGAAACAUUCAAUGGAAUUGAGCUUUGCAGCCAUUUCUGGGAAAUUCCACUGAGGCUUGCUCUUGUUCCAGGGCACUCUGACUGCAACUCCAGUUUACUAAGAAGAACAUAUUUUGUCCCCUAAAAUAAUUAUCAAG